AGUGGAUGGGGAGCAACCUAGUUGUGCGUGUGUAAAGGUAGUGCCAAGAAAAGCGAUGAUCAUGUUGAAAAUCAAUUCCCGGUACCCGAAACCGACACAGGUGGGCAAGUAGAGAAUACUAAGGGGGCGCGAGGUAACUCUCUCCAAGGAACUCGGCAAAAUGACCCCGUAACUUAGGGAGAAGGGGUGCCACCGAGAGGUGCUCGCAGUGAAGAGGCCCAGGCGACUGUCUAGCAAAAACAUAGGUCUCUGCAAACUCGAAAGAGGAGGUACAGGGGCUGACGCCUGCCCAGUGCCGGAAGGUUAAAGAAGUUGGUCAGUCUUAGGAUGAAGCUAGCGACUGAAGCCCCGGUGAACGGCGGCCGUAACUAUAACGGUCCUAAGGUAGCGAAAUUCCUUGUCGGGUAAGUUCCGACCCGCACGAAAGGCGUAACGAUCUGGGCGCUGUCUCGGAGAGAGGCUCGGCGAAAUAGGAUUGUCUGUGAAGAUACGGACUACCUGCAUUUGGACAGAAAGACCCUAUGAAGCUUUACUAUAGCUUGGAAUUGUGUUCGGGCUUCCUGUGCGCAGGAUAGGUGGGAGGCGUAGAAGGUAUUCUUGUGGGGAUACUGGAGCCAACGGUGAGAUACCACUCUCAGGAGGCUAGAAUUCUAACUUAAUUAAGGACAGUUUCAGGUGGGUAGUUUGACUGGGGCGGUCGCCUCCAAAAAGGUAACGGAGGCGUACAAAGGUUCCCUCAGACUGGUUGGAAAUCAGUCGAAGAGUGCAAAGGCAGAAGGGAGCUUGACUGCGAGAAGUACAGUUCGAGCAGGGUGGAAACACGGUCUUAGUGAUCCGACGGUGCUGUGUGGAAGGGCCGUCGCUCAACGGAUAAAAGUUACUCUAGGAUAACAGGCUGAUCUCCCCCAAGAGUUCACAUCGACGGGGAGGUUUGGCACCUCGAUGUCGGCUCAUCGCAACCUGGGGCGGAAGUACGUCCCAAGGGUUGGGCUGUUCGCCCAUUAAAGCGGUACGUGAGCUGGGUUCAGAACGUCGUGAGACAGUUCGGCCCAUAUCCGAUGUAGGCGUGAGAAUAUUGAGAGGAGCCUUCCUUAGUACGAGAGGACCGGGAAGGACGCACCGCUGGUGUACCUGUUAUGAUGCCAAUUGUAAACGCAGGGUAGCCAAGUGCGGAGAGGAUAACCGCUGAAAGCAUCUAAGUGGGAAGCCCACCUCAAGAUGAGUAUUCUGGUGUAAGGUCACGGGAAGACGACCCGUAAAUAGGCACGAGGUGGAAGUGCAGAGAUGUAUGAAGCCGAAGUGUACUAAUAGACCGUCGGCUUGACC
rnacentral:rRNA from 1 species